rnacentral:rRNA from 1 species
GUCCACGCCGUAACGAUGGAUACUAGCUGUUCGGGUUACCUGAGUGGCUAAGCGAAGUGAUAAGUAUCCCACCUGGGAGUACGGCGCAAGCCUGAACUCAAGGAAUUGACGGGCCGCACAAGCGGUGAGCAUGUGGUUUAAUUCGAUGAUACGCGAGGAACCUUACCAGGGCUUAAAUGUAGGUUGCAUUAGGUGGAGACACCUAUUUCUUCGGACCACCUACAAGGUGCUGCAUGGUUGUCGU